AACGGCCGUACCAUGCUGAAUAUACCGGUUCUCGUUAGAUCACCGAAGUUAAGCAUCAUUGGGCGCGGUCAGUACUUGGGUGGGUGACCCCUGGGAACACUGCGUGCCGUU
rnacentral:rRNA from 1 species